rnacentral:rRNA from 1 species
CCCUUAGAUGUUCUGGGCUGCACGCGCGCUACACUGGUGCGUUCAGCGAGUUUAGCACCUUAACAGAUAUGUUUGGGUAAUCUUCUGAAAACGCACCGUGAUGGGGAUCGAUUAUUGUAAUUAUUAAUCGUCAACGAGGAAUUCCUAGUAAGUGUGAAUCAUCAGUUCGCGCUGAUUACGUCCCUGCCCUUUGUACACACCGCCCGUCGCUGCUACCGAUUGAGUGGUCCGGUGAAUUAUUCGGACCGGUGGACUGUGGGGUAACUCGCGGUCUGCUGGGAAGUCUUGUGAACCUUAUCACUUAGAGGAAGUAGAAGUCGUAACA